rnacentral:tRNA from 1 species
AGGCCGCUAGUUUAAUGAAAACCUUUGAUUUCGGCUCAAACAAUUGUGGUUAAACCCCACAGCCGCCUA